rnacentral:rRNA from 1 species
UACGAAGGUCCCGAGCGUUGUUCGGAAUCACUGGGCGUAAAGGGAGCGUAGGCGGCGCGGUAAGUCAGAUGUGAAAUCCCGGGGCUCAACCCCGGAACUGCAUCCGAUACUGCCGUGCUAGAGUAAUGGAGGGGUAGCUGGAAUUCUCGGUGUAGCAGUGAAAUGCGUAGAUAUCAAGAGGAACACUCGUGGCGAAAGCGAGCUACUGGACAUUUACUGACGCUGAGACGCGAAAGCGUGGGGAGCAAACAGG